rnacentral:rRNA from 1 species
CUGCCAGACUCCUACGGGAGGCAGCAGUAGGGAAUCUUUCACAAUGGGCGAAAGCCUGAUGGAGCAACGCCGCGUGCAGGAUGAAGGCCUUCGGGUUGUAAACUGCUUUUAUAAGCGAGAAAUAUGAUGGUAACUUAUGAAUAAGGAUCGGCUAACUACGUGCCAGCAGCCGCGGUCAUACGUAGGAUCCGAGCAUUAUCCGGAGUGACUGGGUGUAAAGGGUGCGUAGGCGGCCCUGCAAGUCAGAAGUGAAAUCCAUGGGCUUAACCCGUGAACUGCUUUUGAAACUGUAGGGCUUGAGUGAAGUAGAGGCAGGCGGAAUUCCCGGUGUAGCGGUGAAAUGCGUAGAGAUCGGGAGGAACACCAGUGGCGAAGGCGGCCUGCUGGGCUUUAACUGACGCUGAAGCACGAAAGCGUGGGUAGCAAACAGGAUUAGAUACCCGAGUAGAA